CUACGUCGGGCCCGGUUAGUACUUGGAUGGGUGACCGCCCGGGAACACCGGGUGCUGUUG
rnacentral:rRNA from 1 species